AACGAACGCUGGCGGCAGGCUUAACACAUGCAAGUCGAACGGGUGUAGCAAUACAUCAGUGGCAGACGGGUGAGUAACACGUGGGAACCUUCCUAGGGGUACGGAACAACUCAGGGAAACUUGAGCUAAUACCGUAUACGUCCGUGAGGAGAAAGAUUUAUCGCCCUUAGACGGGCCCGCGUCGGAUUAGGUAGUUGGUGGGGUAACGGCCUACCAAGCCUACGAUCCGUAGCUGAUCUUAGAGGAUGAUCAGCCACACUUGGACUGAGACACGGCCCAGACUCCUACGGGAGGCAGCAGUGGGGAAUAUUGGACAAUGGGCGCAAGCCUGAUCCAGCCAUGCCGCGUGAGUGAAGGAGGCCUUAGGGUUGUAAAGCUCUUUUACCAGGGACGAUAAUGACGGUACCUGGAGAAUAAGCCCCGGCAAACUUCGUGCCAGCCGCCGCGGUAA
rnacentral:rRNA from 1 species